rnacentral:lncRNA from 1 species
UUUUUUUUUUCUAAAUAAAGCUGUUUUUAUCGGACGUCUUUUUAGAAGAAUUAGCGGAGGUUACUUAAAUUAUUUGUCAGACGUGCGCCUUUAUUUAUGUCCGUAGACAAGACACAAACCGAUGAUUCUGCGUUUAAUUCCAGAGCAAGAUUUACUAUAGUAUGUUUACAAAAAUCAAAAUACUAGAAAGAAAGUACAAAAUGAAAAUCUGCACUUGAUGAGGGAAAAGACAACUUGGUGGAGAUAUUUUUUUAAACGAUUUUGGCAUGUACUAUUAUAUUUUACACUUGAUAUUUAUAAAGGAUUUUUAUCACACGUAGAUGUAAUAUCCAUGUGAAAGCACAGUGACAGCUCAGUCCUCGCCGUGACAUGCGAAGUUCAGCUUCAGCCGGACCAUAUCUUCCUGCCAAUGAAGAAGAUCUACUUUUAUUAUGCUUAAUUUAACAAAACGAAUAUCAUGCAAUUUCUACGCUCCAAUUACCAUUUGUUUCUCCGAAGCGAAUACUCCACGAGAAGUAACACUCUUCUGCCAGCACUAAUACAAAAAGCUUAGAGACAAAAACAGAGAGGCCACUGGGGCAUAAACAACGUGAGGAGCCCAACCACAGUCGCCCCAAUAUAUACCGACGCCCCCUGUAAACCACAGCACCACCGCGUAGCCCGCCAACCAGAGCAUCCCGCCCGCUCUCGCCUCGGUGUCGCCGCCGCCCAUGGCCGUCGCCAAGAGCAAGGCAGGCAAGCACGCCGCCCCGCUGCUCGGCAAGUACGAGCUCGGCCGCCUCCUCGGCCGCGGCACCUUCGCCAAGGUCUACCACGCGCGCUCCCUCGUCGGCGGCGAGGCCGUGGCCAUCAAGGUGCUCGACAAGCCGGAGCUGGCCGCCACGGCCGGCAUGGACGCGCGCGUGCUCGGCGAGGUCUCCGCCAUGCGCCGCCUCCGCCACCCCAACGUGCUGCGCCUCCACGAGGUGCUCGCCACGCGCUCCAAGGUCUACCUCGUCAUGGAGCUCGCCCCCGGCGGCGACCUGCUCUCCAGGCUCGCCUCGCUCCCCAAGCGCCGCCUCCCCGAGCACGCCGCGCGCCGCGUCUUCCUCCAGCUCGUCUCCGCGCUCAUCUACUGCCACGCGCGCGGCGUCUCCCACCGCGACGUCAAGCCGCAGAACGUCCUCAUCGACGCCGACGGCAACCUCAAGGUCUGCGACUUCGGCCUCGCCGCGCUCCCGGAGUCCCACCGCGACGACGGACGCCUGCACACCGCCUGUGGGACGCCCGCCUUCGCCGCGCCCGAGGUGCUCCGCCGCAAGGCCUACGACGGCGUCAAGGCCGACGCAUGGUCCUGCGGCGUCAUCCUCUACGUCCUCCUCGCCGGCCGCCUGCCGUUCGACGACUCCAACAUCGCCGAGAUGUGCAGGAAGGCGCACCGCCGCGAGUACACGCUCCCGGAGUGGGUGUCCCAGCCGGCGCGCCGCCUCGUGAGCCGCCUGCUCGACCCCAACCCAGCCACCCGCCUCACGGUCGCCGAGCUCUCCAGCCACCCGUGGUUCAAACGGUCGCUCAGCCUCGACUCGCAGCUCGGCAGCCUCCUCGGCGGCGCGCCGGAGCGCGACCUCCUGUUCCAGGCCCCGCCGACGCUCAACGCGUUCGACAUCAUAAGCAUGUCGCCGGGGCUCGACCUGUCGGGACUCUUCGGCGAGAACCGGCGGAGCCGGGAGAAGCGGUUCAUGACGACGGCGACGCCGGAGCAGAUGGUCGAGCAGCUCGGGCACUCGGGUGCAAAGCUCGGUUACUUCAUGGUGGGCAAGAAAGGAGUAGAGCGGCUGCCACUAGGCGGCCUGUCGGGGCUCGUGGCCAUGUCCAUGGAGAUGUCGGAGGUGGCGCCGCCCCUGAUGCUCGUCGAGCUUCGGCUGGAAGCAGGCGACGACGAGGAGGUCCAGGCGUUCGGAUGGGACGAGCUCAGGACGGAGCUUGGGGAGGUGGUCAUGGCGUGGCAUGGCUGCGAGGAAUUGUGAGGAGGAGUUGGGGGAUGUACAUGUAUGAUCUGAUGCCAGAAAGAGCUAACUAGGACUUUGUGGCAGAUUGAAGGGGGUAGAUUUGUUAUUAGUUCAUUCACUCUGAUUUUGAUGCUUGUGAUUAGAAAUUUUGUGCGAAUGAAUCUAGAUUCUGUGUCUUUGUGGUGCUAGCCUGAAGGUCUGAAUCUAAUGAUAAUAACCUUGCCUGGUAAUUGUGUCACUGCAUGUACCAAAUUGGAACCUAAAUUAACACAAUGACAUAAUUUUUGUCCUUGGUUGUUAGUCCAUUCAAUCAAAGUGAUGUUUGCUUUGCAAGGAGAUGCUAGGUUGUUAGUUGAACCAUGAUUUGUGAUGCUUACUUCAACUUGAAGGCUUGAAUCUAAUGGUACUACAUGGUAGCCUUAGCCCAUAGGCGACAUGAUUCAGGUUGCAACAUUGUCUGAACUCUCUGGAAGGUAGCCUACUUCUUUCCUUUAAAAACUCCACAUGCAUAAUGCAGACCUGAGGGCUUUCCAAAGACAAUUAGUGCCAAUAAAUUAGUGCCAGGACAGCUGCUACAAGGUGUUUCAUUCGAGCACAAUAAACUCUUCUUCCCUGGCAGGUACUCUACUCCGCUGAACGUCUGAACCAUAAGAAAACUGCAGCUCUGCUGCCUGCAACUGUCCCUACGAAUUAUGCACACAUAGCUGCUUACCCAUUAAUGACUACUGUAAUUGUUUUCAGGAUUUGGAAAUUGAAAAGGACCAAGGAACGAAUUCCCUGUCUUACCUCGCAACAAUAUCUCAGCGCGUUCUUGUUUGUUGUGCUGGUCGUUUUCCAUGUCUGUCCUUCAGUGGUGGCCUGAUGAUUGCCCAGAUAUGGAAGAGUCAUCUGCGUCCGUCCGUUUGAAGCGCCAAUGAAUUUGCCUUGCUGAAGAAUAUGCCGUGAUCGCUUUUCAUGCCGCACAAGGUUGGCAGGAUGAUUGGAACCUGUCGACGAGUAAGCAUCUCGGUAAAAGCAGUUUAUUUUUUUGAGCAAAAUCUCGGUAAAAGCAGUGGGAGUCGUGGUCAAACAGAAGCAAUCGAUUCCAAUAACUGGCUCGUAUACGCUAUGGAAAUGCCUGAAUAUCAGAACUGGAAAUGGACACUAAAGGUUUUUAUGCAUGAUCCUGUUUAGAAGUAUAAUUGGUGAUUUAUGUUAAGUGAUUAGCACGCACAUUCUAGUUUCCCAAACUCCUAAUUUCUGUUAAGUGAUUUGCGCGCACAUUCUAGUUUCAGGAACUCCUAAUUUGUGUCAAGUGAUUAGCAUCAAUGGUAAACCUAUUGCCGGUGUCAGUGGGCAGUAGUGAAUGAGAAGUCAAAACAGGUUCAGAAAGCCUAUGAGUUGAUCGAUGUCGACGAAAGCGAGUGGGUCAGAUAUCAGCGGGCGAAAAAGGAGAGACCUUGACAUGGGCAUCCUGGAAUUAAGGUACUUGACAGUAGCUCAGGGACAAAACUAUAAGUAACUUGCAAUGCCAGCUUAUCUCCUACAGUAGUUUAUUCUCUGAAGCUACUGUAGUCGGAACAGGAUCCUCUAACAUUGAGAAGGGAAGUUAGAGAAGUUACAGUACCCUAACUUCCCUUCUUUCUAUUCAUAUGAUUAAGGUUUAAAUGAUUCAAAUUAAUUUGCAAAUUGAUGAUCUACUGUGUACAUUUAUAUAGUAACUACACACAAAUAAAUUGAUGGUGAAAUAAAAUUAGUUUUAAACACAAUAGUAAAUAACCUGCUAACUACCUACUAACCUUCUCUAACUUUCCUUCUUCAUUUUACACUAGGCUAACACUGUAGUACCAUGACUUUCCUUCUCUAUGUUAGAGGAUCCGGUUCCACUAUAGUCUGCAAGCUCUCCGGUCUAAACUGGUGAAAAGGGAGAACGAGGUAUAGCAUUUGAGUAUGUGUGCUGGCCGACAAGGCCAUGAGAAGAAAAUAGGUGCAAUGGAGCAGCUGCAGCAUGAGCGAAUAGAGAGGCGCAUGCAUACUGAAGUUGGUGUUUGACAAUCUGCUGCCAAUUCUGAAUCGACAGACAUUACAAAGAGAAGCCAAAACAAUCUUCUGUUCUUUUCAUCUUUUUCUUGGUAGGCCUAUCGUCAUGAGUACUACUACCGUCAGCGGAGAGGAAAAUGGAGAGGAUUGGUGGCGAUGAUGAACACGUACGACGGCAUAUAUUCCACAACAGUUUGGCACGUCUGCACCUGAUAAAUUACUCUCUCCAUUGACAAAUAUAGGAUUUUUACAUAUUUCAACAAGACUGCAUUCGGACCAAACUAAGUGAAAAAACACACUAAAACAUGUAUAUAUCCAUUCAAUUCACAAAAAAUUAAAACACCUUAUAUUUAUGAAUAGAUGAAGUAUACCUUUUAAAUGAAGGCUCGAGAUGAACCCGACUUUAUGUUAAUAUAAACUAUAAAGCCAACAACCAAUCAGGAAUUGCAGCGACUAACAUCAUAUAGACAUGUUUAUACAAAAAACCACCAUAUCGACAUUAAAAAAAACAGCCACAAUAGUGUCGAGGAAACAACUACUCAUAGAGAACAACACAAGGAAGCAAAAUAGAUACAAUGUCAAGGCCUUGUUCACCCUGCUGACUACACCAGAGCGGAAAGGCGGUAUCCCAAAGGGAGAGAGGCCAUCGGAGAAAGAUCUCACCUUUAUUUGCUCCCAGUCGGCGAGAUGUUGUCAAAGUGGCAUAUAUCUACACGACUGAAGAAAGCCUCUCCCCUCUCGCCCAGGAUCGAAGGGUGUUGCACUGCCGGCAAGGCAGAACCACUCAGCCGAGAGCCCGCAUGAACACUGGAUAGAUUGCCAGGUUUCCAAAACGCCAUGCACGCACCAAGAAAACAAACCACGAACACCGCCGCCUCCCGCAACACAUAUCACACAGAAGACAUAAGCAUUAGAAUGAGGUCGACGAGAGCUGAAAAGAUAGUUCAACAAUGCCACCAAGACUGGUUGGAGCUCUUCAAGACCAUUGGAUCAUCACCACCCUUGAAAAUCUCAUUUGAAGUUAAAAAAAAUUCUAAGAAUUCACAUGCGUUCAUAUUGAUGUAUAGUACAUGUGUGUAAAAUUUGAAGAUGAAACACAUUAUGGUGACAGCUACACAAAAAAGGAGAAAAUCAUGAUUUUAAAAUGGUGGACAGUACACACACUGUUCACUAUAAAAAUGCGCAAAUUUGUCUUUUUGUGUAGUUGUCACCAUAAUGUAGACUUUACACACAUGUAAAACACAUCAAUAUAAACGCGUGUUAUUUUUUUCAGAUUUUUUGAAUCUUAAAAAUAUGAUACUCAAUUUUUUCAAAAAAAAAGUGCCAUGGAGCUCGUCCUCCAAAAUGCCCUACUCUGCACAUGCAACAUUUUUUGUGAGCACCUUACUUAAAAAAAACUGCAAGAGGAUGUAGUCAUCCCAAUCACAGAAGAACAGUUGCAGCGUUGGUUUUAGGGGAAAGAACAAUUGCACAAAUGUUGGGUAUCUGAUCAGAGAUAGCCAUUGGACUGAAACCCAGAAGAUCAAUCCUAAUGGUUAGCCGGCUAUUGCGAGACAGCGGCCUCUUUGACCUAGCCAGCCGCCCCUCCAAAAAGCUAGGGUACUCUGCCUCCCGCCAGCGCCGGCGCCGGUCCGUCCCGUCUCCGAUGGCCUUAGGGCCAUGGAGGCGGAGCGGAUCUCGCCCCUUGCCGGUGGGAGGGCUCCGUUUUUAGAUCUUUUUUCGAGUUUUGUUAGGGUUUGUGUCCUGCUCAGGAAGGCGAGACGGCGGCGGCUCCCUGAAGAUGGAAUAAAGGUCUCCCCGCCUAGCCCCCGUUCCGGUGAUGCGUCCAGCAUCAUUGGUGGGCGUGUGGAGUUGUGUCUCCGGCUGAUCUGUCUUUGGUGGAUUUGCUCGGAUCUGUUCGUCGUUCGUCUUCGUUCGUGUGUCUUCAGGUUGGAUCCUUUUAAUCUACACUCUUCAUCUACGGCGGUUGCUGUUCAGGUGCGUUGGUUCUAUGGGGCCUUAGCACGACGACUUCCUGACUGUCUACUACAACAAAGUUUGCCCGGCUCCAAUGAGGGAGGGGCGAUGGCAGUGGCGCGCCUUCGGCUCGCUUUAGUGCUUGUAGUCGUCGCUAGGUGGUCUACGGAUUUGGAUGUAAUUUUUAUUAUUUCUAGUGUUCGUUGUACUACCAUGAUUGAAGAUGAAUAGAUUGGAAGUUUUUCCCGCAAAAAAGAAAAGAAACCCAGAAGAUCAGUGAUGUUCUUCUUUUUGCAGCAGAAAAUCAGUGAUGUUUAUUUCUCGCCUGCUCGCACAAAACAAUUAUAGCCAUUGUCAGUGGCCCAAUCAUAUGGGCCGGACCAUAUGACGGCCCAUGUGCAUCGAACAAUCGUCGAGGCACGAGACAAGCACGUGCUAACGCAGAAACCACAGAACGCUAUCCCAUCAGAAAAAUCUCCGCGACUCCUCCCAUUUCCUAUCACUCCGGCGAGCGAGCGGCAGCCAUGGUGAUUGCUCCAGUCGCGACCUACUCCUCCUCCCGAGCGCCACCGCCGGCGAGGAGCACGGCGUACCGAGCGCGCCUCGCCGCAGCCGGGCUCUCCUCGAGGGCGUCCUCCUUCGCCGCGGGCAGCGGGCUCGCCGUGGCGGCGGCUUCCGUGGCGGUGGCCGCGCGGCCCAGGCGGACGGGGGCGGGGGGCGGCGCGCUCGGGUGCAAGUGCCUGUUCGGGCUCGGCGUGCCGGAGAUGGUCGUCAUCGCCGGCGUCGCCGCGCUGCUGUUCGGGCCGAAGCAGCUCCCCGAGAUCGGCCGCAGCGUCGGCAAGACCGUCAAGAGCUUCCAGCAGGUACGGAAUUGGACCCUAAAUUAGUAAAGAUAGCGUGUAUCCGUCUGUAAAAUAGCGAAAUUGGAUGAAACCCUGGCACUGACAGUAUAGCAAAGUCGUGUAAGGAAAGGCAACUGAAAAACCAGUACUCGACUUCUAGAUGCCUAAUUCAGGUAGUUAAAUCACUGAAAUAUUUGAGCUUAUGGGAAUAUGGGACAUGCUUUGUGCCUAUUGGCUGAGGUAGGAUUUUGGCACUAUUCAUGUGCUGCUAUCUGAUAUUGAUAUAGGAGCACUUUAUUUAUUGUAUAAACUGUAAAUGGGUAUUCGUGGUAGCUUCCGUGCUAUAUUACUUUCAAAUGUAACCGUGAGUGGGUUUCCAUGUAUGUGUUCUGUCCUUUCAAUCAUUUUAACAUGAACUGAACUAGCUCUAGCAUUUUCAUUGGGCAUAAGCAUGUCAAUCAGGGAAUAUGGGUUGAUGUGAGAAACUUAUCGAUUAAGACGGGGUAGUUUGGGAAUAUUUGAAGCUUAGCUUGAUCACUAUGUCCAUUUUGAUUGUGCCAACAGGCAAGCUUGAGCUUGUCUGCACGGUUUGCAGUUAUCAGAUUAAGUUAUCAAGGAAUUCAGUCGGUGGAUACAUAUGCAUAUAUGCCUUAGUAGAUGAUAUUGGUCUCUGUUCAUGCUGUCGUUUGCUUCACAAUGCGUAUGCGUGGUUGUCCCAUUCCUUUUAGUUUGUGCAACCAUGCUGAUUUGUGCUUGCACUUGCUGAUGCAUGGGCCAGCAUGAGUGUGAGUCUCGGAUCUGGGGUCGACUCUAGUGCGCUUUUCAUUUGCCCGUGAAGCAAUGGGGAUAUGGGAGACAUAUUGGAGAGAAAUAGAGAGUUAUGCUAAAUACAUGGCUAGGCAGAAGGUCUGCACUGCACACACUUGAUUUCCUUACCUGUCAAGUGAUAUAACUAUUAUACACUUCUCUGUAGGCAGACCAUUCAAUUCCAGUUUACGACUUGUUUCCUUACCUGUCUGUCUAUCUAAAUCCAUUCUCAGGCAGCCAAGGAAUUCGAAACAGAACUGAAGAAAGAACCUGAGGAAGGCGGCGACCAGCCUCCACCCACAACCCCCACCGCGGUCAGCAGCAGCGAUGAUGAAGAGAAAAAGGAGCUAGAGGCAUCGAGUAGGAAAGAGAGCACAUGAGGACCAGGCCAACCAUCGCGAACUAGAAGAGUAAAGUUGUGUAUGUAAAAACAUCGUGAUGUUCUAGCACAUUGCUCCCUGUUUUUGUUCUUCUUGCAGGCCAUGCAGCAAUAUUGUUUGUAACCGGCGAAAAUGUGUCCCCCCUGAAAUACCAUGUUGCUAAUGUAUGAGUUUAAUUGUGUACAUCAAUGUAUGAGGUUACUUUUGUACAUCUCUGCUGUUUUUCCUGUCGAAAUUAUGGAGUAUUGGUACAUCAGUUUGGAAUAGAGCUGUGAAGAAUUGUGCCUGACAUUGCUAGCCCAGUUGGAUUUGUGGUAGUGAGGAUGUGCCAGAAUUUUAGUCUGAGACACUAGAGGGUGGGCCCGCAUUGUCAGACACUAUAGCCGAACGUUUUGGGCCCCAGCAGCAGAGAAAGAAGAAGCGGGGGCAACUUUCCCCCGGCAAUAAACUCGCGAGGCCACACUCUCGAGAGUGAGAAGGAAAGCAAAAUCCGAAAUUAUCGCCAUGGCUCUCCUCGCCGUCGCGUCCCCGCUCAAAACCCUAAACCCUACCUUGAGCCCCAGCCCAAGCCCCAGCCGCCGCCGCGGUCUCCUCCUCGGCUCCUCCCAUCUCCGCCUGCCGCCGCUGCUCUCGCGGAGCGGCCGCCUCCGCUGCUCGGCCGGCUACGGCGAUGCCGCCGCGCCGCAGCAGGCGGCUCCGACGACGCAGCGGCCGGACGAGAUCCCGUGGAGCAGGGAGCUCUGCAACUCGGUGCGGCUCAUAGGGACGGUGGGCACCGACAUCGAGCUGCGCCAGCUCCCCAGCGGCGCCUCCGUCGCGCGGGGGCGCAUUGCCGUCUGGAAGUCGGCCACCGAGACCACCUGGUAAAUAAUUUCGGCAUUGGCUGAGCCUGAGCUGUGCUAGCUCGUGAUUACAGCUCGAGUGGAUGCCGUUAACGUGUUUGGCCGUGUUUAUUAGUGUAACUAGCAUGGUUGUUCAUGGAUGCCGCCAAAUGUUCGGCACUAUGCAGAGGGGAGCAAUUUAGUGCUGAUGUAGAUAUGGAGAUGUUACAAAUUACUAAUAGAACAAACAUGCGCUAUGUGCGGUUCCUUGCCAUAGAUUGAUGCCUCAGUUUAAAGGGACUUUAGUCGGGGCAGGAAAAGUUGAAGUAUGCUUCUUCCUUGGGGUUAUUAGCUAGCUAUAAGAGUUAUGCACCAAGAUUCAGAAAUAUGUUAUCAACUAAUGUGCUGUGGACAUCUUCUGCAAGAAUCAUUCACAGAUUAAGCAUGAAACUGAGAGCAAGGUCCAGAUUAAGCAUGAAGUCAAGAGUAUGAUUAACAUGUUAGUUAAGCCUGAAACUCCACUUUGCAUUAUGCAAUAAUUGUUUCCCUUUGUCUAAUGAGUUUGCUAACCCAAAACUAAAGUUUUUUGCAUGGCUCAAGCAAAAUUAGGAACCAUACCUCUUUGUUGCUAUGUAAGUCAUGCAGUCAUGCUAUAUCGUCUUCUCGUCACAUGUUAAAUAAUGUAUUAGAUGAUUGUCCAUUACAUUCUUUAAUAUGAAUUAGUAUUCAUAAGUGUUUAAUGGGGCGGUGCUUGUAGGGUAACUCUUGCAUUUUGGGACGACUUGGCUGUUAUGGCCUCUGAGCAUGUAAAACAAGGAGACCGAAUAUUUGUUUCUGGACGGCUUGUAUCAGAUACUGUUGAGGAGGGGCCUGAGAAGCGGCAGGUUUACUACAAGGUACAUCUCUGCAAAUAAUUUGUAAUUGACUUAACAUGUUUUCUUUUCAUGCUGUUGUCAUCACUGCUCUUUCUCGUGGUUAUGAACAGUAUCAUAUAUUUUUGCAGGUUGUCGUUCAACAGUUCAACUUCAUUGAGUCCUUCCAACCUGUGCGGUUAUAUUCAGAGUCAAGCCAGGAUGGUAUGGAUUUAACUCGAGCUGGCUUACUUAUAUCUUCAUUUCGUAUUGUAAAACUACUGCUUCUCUUCUCACUUGUUUAUACUUCUGUCUUAUGGUUAUUUAUUUGUCUGUUUGCGAUAUUUACUUUCAUUAGACAGCAGUACUGUAAUUGUUUGCAUUUUGUAUUGCUCACAUUUCCUUCAAACUGGCUAUGUUCAAUGUCUAAUCAUUCUGGGGCUUGGAUAUUGUUCUGUAGUCUUCAAAGUCAUGUGUGAUAGGCCCCUUUAUUUAAGGUCUGUAUUUAAAGUGUUACCCUGUGCACCUUUUAGAAGAUAGCAAGUUACUUUUGAAAGAUUGCAGGGAAGGUUGUGAGAAGUUAUCUCAUGUAGCCAAAUUUAUCAUGGGUUUUAGUGCCAAAAUUUGCAACACAAGAUAAGUACUCUUUCUUGCUUGAUUGUCAGACAUUUGCGCACCGAGUUGCAUCAAGUUUCAUGGAUAUUUUCAACCGGGUAUUUUUGGUUCGAAACAACAUCUUUCCUGUAUAUAUAUAGCCCGGUCUUAAUUCUUAAGAGGCUCUAGUCCAGUGAUACACAUAACUGGAUGCUAGGUAGCUGUAUAUUGAUGUAAGAAAAUAUAUUGAAAAUAGUAAAGGUUGACACUUGGUUGUGAAUUAAAGGUGGAAAGCAUGGAGAUUAUGUUGGUAAUGAUUCUACCUCUGGUUCAACUGAGAAUAAAAAGGGAGAUUACAUGAGUUCCUCCUCUCGUUCAACUGAAGCACUGUGGCAAGCAUUCUUCGCUAAUCCUCUUGACUGGUGGGAUAACAGGAAAGAUAAGGUGACAUCUCCUUCUUUUAUUCCUUUUUGGGGCAUUUAGAAUUUUAGAUGCAUUGACGUAUAUUGUUUUCUCUGUGUUAAUGUCUGUCUUUGUAUGUAAACCACCUACACAUUUUAGGAGUGUUUAUCCAAUAGCAAAUGACUGAGCGCAAAACAUGGAGUACGCUGUUAAGGCCCUAUUUUGAUUGAAGGAAUUUCAUAGGAAUUUUGGAGGAUUCCAAUCCAUAUGAAUUUUUCCAAGCCCUUUGGAUCUCAUAGGAAUGGGUUUACCAAAUUACUAUGGAAUCCAGUCCUAUAACCUCCUAAAAAGCACCAACACGGAGACGGCAACACGGUGAUACGCAUACGGGGACGCGGGAUACAGCAUUUUCCAAAAACAGCCAUUCGGGGAUACGGCGAGUAUAUAUAAAAUAAAACGAAAAAUAUGCCAUGUAAUAUAGAGUUAAGACACAAAAUUUAAUGAGAAAUUGAGAUAAUAUCAGAAUACUACCCCCAUUAAGGCCUCGUUUGAUGGAAGAGGUUUGAAGAGGAUUACAGGGGAAUAUCCUUGCAGGGCCCAAAAUCCCCAGAAAACCCUAUCAGCCCAUUUGAUUCUCAGGGAUUAAACUGGCCAAACCACUCCAAUCCCCGCCAACCCCACCCGACCCACGCGGCUCAACAACCAUAUCGGGGAUACAGCGGGUAUUUCCUUCUUUUUUUAAUAUCGGAAUCAUGGGAUACUGCAGGAUACGUGUAUCCUGGUGUAUCGUGGCAUGUCGCCGUAUCCCGCCUGGGACGGCUAGUUGGCAGUUUCUGCUGUAUAGGUGCUUGCUAGAUACCCUCCAUUCCAUAGGAAUCUAAACAUAAGCUCAAACCUCAUUUUAUUUUUCCUUUGAGAAGUCCAAUGCACUUACACCCUAUCUCUCUCCACUCUCUCCUAAAUCCUGUAAAAUUCCUGUGUUCAUUUCCUGUACAUCAUUCAAAGACGCAUAAAAUUCAUGUGUUUUGAAAUCCUGUAGGAGUUCAUAGUACAUGACAUCUCAUUCCUACCUUUAUUUCCUAUUCCUACAUUUCUAAAUUCCUACAAUCCAAAGAAGCCUGCGAACCUUAGUGGCAUAGUAACAUUCUAACUAUACAUUGCAUGUGAUUUGACGUUAAUUUGACUAUUUUUAUCAGGAGUUUAUGUUUUUCCAAUUCCCGUGAAGUGUGAACCGAACGCUCAAGUUGACAUAAUUUCUGUUUACCAGUCCUUUGUUUUGCACAUGCAUUCCUAUCCUAUUCCUGUGCUUUUAGAAUCCUGCGAACCAAAGGGGCCCUAAACAUCUUAAACCACCAAAGAAAUGCUGAAAUAGUUGAGAGCCAGAGAGGAGUAUUGGAGUGUAGCCAACAUGGAAAAAACCCGGCAAGAUGCCGUAUGUAGCCGAGAAACUUAAAAUAAAAUAAAAGGUCUCUUUAAUGUUAUUUUUUCAUUUGUACCAAGAAUCAGGGCUUGUCUUUCCCUUCGGACAAGAAGACUGGGCAUGGCUUCCGAAAUUUGAGAAGAGUGCCCGCCCCCCUCCUUAGUGUUCUGCACGCCUUAUAUAUUCUGUGCCAACUUAAUUAACAUAAGUACUGUGGUAAUAUUGCUGUGCAAUCGAAUUUUAAUGGGUUAUGCCUUAUCACUUGUGUCAGUCAUGAUUAUAAGGCACCGCCUAAGUGUUGCUUCAGUGCUGAGGUGCCCUAGGGUGGUAAGGUGUUGCCUCUGCCUUAGACAUCUAGCGUAUGGCGGCCUCAUUGAAGUGUCUGCCGCCUCCAGGGGUCUCUCCCGCUUCAUGUUCCUCGAUGUGGCUGACCCUGGGGCUUGGAAAUGACGAUCCUGCCACCUCCUGCACUCCGGCGAGUGUCCUGUCGUUGUGUGUGCUUCCAGUCACCUUCCCCUCCUCGAUCAAAUCUGCUGUUCUUGUGAGGAUGAAUAGUGGUUGCAGUGAGGGAGAAGGGUCAAGGGUGGGGUUGUGAGGAGAAUGGAUGAGUGUGAGGGUUAUGUGCUUGUAUGAGGAGGAAAGGGAGCAGAAGAUGUGUGGUGGUUGUGCUGAGGGAGAACGGAGGGACAGCGGAAUUAGGCCAUAGGAGGAGUAUAGUGCUACUACUUGGGCUUUUGGGCCAUGGGGAAGUGCAUAACUAAAGGGCCAUUGUUCAUUCUUUCUAUUUUUCAUUGUAAUAUACUCCCUCCGUCCCAAAAUAAGUGUCGCUGAUUUAGUACAAAAGUUAUACUUAAUCAACGACACUUAUUUUGGGACGGAGGGAGCAUGUACCCACUGUUCUGUUCCUGUAAUAUCUAAGGCACCGCCUUGCCACGCCUUAACUGUUUAAAUGUUAAGGCAGGUCUUAGGGGCCUCACCUUGCCUUACCGCCUUAAAAACUAUGGUUCAGUGUUAUAUGCUCACAGAGAAUUGUCAAAGUCAUUCAUCUUGAAUUUGGAAAAAGAUCAAUAACAAAUGGAAGUAAAAUGUGAUUCAUCACCAUCCAUGUUUUUAAGGUUUCCAUAAGGCGACACUUAGACACUGCUUAGGCUGUAAGGUGCCCUGGCAGCGUCCUAGCAUUUCUUCUGCCUUAGGAGCUUAAGUGGCAAGGCGGUGGUUGAUCACGUUAUGGCUGCUGCCUAAAAAACCUUGGUUGCCAUGAUAUGUAUAGUACACCAUACUUUUCAAAUGUGUGGUCAAACUGUGAUAUAGUUUUGUUCGAUGUGCUUUAGGGUUCGCCAGCGAUAUAAUUUGCUGGGGAACAAGACCCAUAAAUCCAGGGGGCAUGGGCCAGAGGGGAGGACUGUGAGCUGCCACCAUUGCUUUUCGUCUUAGCUAUCACCACUGCUGUUGCACCUCUUCAUUGCUGAAGCUAUUGCUGUUGGUGCACUGCUGUGGUUGCUGCCACGUCAAUAGCUCUGUUCACUGAUCGCUGGACAUGAGAGAAGGAAAGGAUGAGAUCCGGUCAUGUACGCUAGCAUUGAGCUAGCCAAGGGAGCUAUUGGACUGAGAGAGGAGAAAGAUUAUGAUCACUGAUGAGAUAAACAAAAUGAUGUGACCCGGUGGAUGGGUUGUCUUCCUCCUGUUCUUAUCUCCACUCACUUGGAUCCCCGCCAUAUAUUCUCUCUCCUCUACUGGCAUUAGGAGUAACAAAGUAGAAAUUUCAUGUGGAUUGUUUUUUUUAUCCUUUUCUCCCAAUUUACAUGUAGUUCAUAAUUUAUUAGUUUCCCCUCUCCAUGCUACAAGAUAUUGUAUUGCAUUGGACAGCGACUAGUUUUAGUUUGGUCUAAUUAUAUAAUUAGAAUCUCCAAAUAGCUCUGACUUUUCUUUUCCUCAUAAUAACUUGCAAAAAUGAUUCAUCAUGUUAGGUUGUGAAAUUCAUGCCAUCUUCCUUUCCUAGCCUCCACCCCACAAGCUUUAUCAUAUAGCAGCUGGUUGCAUUUUCAUUCUUGUAUUCAUUUGCUUGCACCAAUGAUUUGGCCAUCAUACGUAUUCUCUGAAGAAAUAUAUGCCCCCUCCCCCUAACCCAUACAAUGAUGACUAAUGAUUUUACGUGCGUGUCAGCAGAAGAACCCAAGGUAUCCAGACUUCAAGCACAAGAGCACCGGCGAAGCGCUGUGGGUCGAGGGGAGGAACAACCCCAACUGGGUCGUCUCCCAGCUGGCGGUCUUGGACUCGAGGAUGGGUUCCCUGCAGGACAAGCAGAGGAAACCAGUCUCCUACAUGUACGCCGACGACUUCAUGACAUCUGAUGCCAGCGACUAAGCUCUGCCAUAGGUGGGAGGAAGCUUCUGAUCCCCCAAGCAUCCAGCUCCAGCAUCGUAUCAUGUACUAGAAAGGUGCGUUAGUUGCGCCAUGUCAUCGGCGCGUCUCGGUUUUUGUUGUACAUAGGUAGGCUCCGGAAGCUUUAUUAUUAGUCCAUGUGUUCUACGUCGGUGGUAGUGACAAAUUGUGAACAUGACUAUGUACGAGAAGCUCGAUCGUCCGCACAUCAGUUGAUGCGUUCCAGCAGUAAGAGUCCCGUCCAAUCAGAUGGCUAACAAGAGUUUGCCGAAUCUGUCCCCGAAUAUUGCAACUUGUGCUAGGAAUAUGUAUCUCACUGUUGAGGGGCGCACAUCGAACCAGCAGGAUACACGUCGAUACUCUGAUGCUGCUGGCCAGAUUUGCACCGAAAAAUAUGUCGACCAGACAGUGAUGAUUUGCACCGAAAAUUUUGUCGACCAGACGGCUAUUCUCUUCCUCUCUCUUUUCUGAUGAAGGGCACACGUGCCUACCGUUUCUCCAGGCACCAUCCACUCCAGCAGCCAAGCCAUCGCACCAUCCCAGAAGGCACAAGGGGGGUGUACUGACUUCGUUUUCUCCUGUAUCUUAAAUUCUUAAUAAAAUUAAGAUGGCUAAUUUGGUCUUGGGAUGUGGAUGAAGACCCCAAUCUUUCCGGUAAAAAAAUAGGGAGAAAAGGCCAUAAAGACCAUCCCAGAAGGCACAAAGGGUGGCUUCGAUUUCUUUUAUGCUUCUAUAAAGAUGGUUGCAGCCAGUUUAUGUAAUUUUCUCUUGAGAAGUGGGAUAAAGAGCUUACUCUUUCCUUCGGCAAAAAAGAAAGAAGAAGAAGAAGAUGAAGACCUCACUCGAUUUAUUGAUCGAUGCCGGUGGCGUGGACGCUUGGAUCCAGCGCUCAUGUGCACCACAUGCGCGCUGUCCGCCCACGGAUCGACCGGCGCAUGUGUUGACAGCAAAAUGCAGGCCGGUUUGCAUGGGCCGUGUGUGUUACUCGCUUGACCAGUCUUGUGAAUCUCUCUCUCUCUCUCUCUCUCUCGUUUGACUGAGCUGCUGUCUACAAUAGGUAUUUUGGAUCGAGUAAUCGGCCAUGAAUGAGGCCGCGAUCGAAUUUUGAUCUCAUCAGCGGCACAUGGUCCCGUUUCAAGUCAACGUCUCUGGUAACAUGGCUAAAGAUUCGGAUGGAACUAGUGUCAUUAGGUCUAAGAUUCAAAAGAGCCUCCACGGUUCGCAAGAUUCUAAAACACAGGAAUGUGAAUGUGAUGUUAGAAACUCUAGAAUCUUAACAGGAUUGAAAACCAUGUCGGAACGGAAUUGGCACUAUGGCGUUUUUUUACAUAGCAUAUGAACUCUCGAAUGGAAAUUUCGAUUUGGUAUCGGAUGAGAGGUGGCUCACAAGUAACAUCUACGUAUCAGGUUUCUAGUCCUACAUAUCAAUCUGUAGGUGAUAUCCAAAAGGUUUCUUAUCCAAUCUAUCAAUUUCUCUAAGCAUAUUGAAAUCAUACACAAUAUGUUUGCAAUUCCUUCGAUCAAAGAUGCCCUAAAAUGUUGCAGUGAUACAAAAGAAACCAAAUGUUUUGCAUCUGUGUUUGCAGUCUUAGCUAAACAAGUGGAAGAUCCAUCCAAUUUGGUUGUACCAUAUACAGCAGAUCAAAACAUUGUCGAAAUGCUCGAUCGUCGCAUAUACCACUGUCCACCGCACCUUAACAUCAUUGGACUCGAACUGAGAACGCAUAAACAAGUGGUGCUCACAAACAACAACCAACAUAAUUGCGUUGAUGAUAAAGUGACUAUGACAACUUGAAUACAAAAGCACAUGCCAAGGGGAAACCGGAAGGAAAGCCCCCCAGCAAAAACAUGCAUGAUGAUAAGUGAUCAACAAUCAAUAUAACUGUUUCGUUUGUACAAACACAUGGAGAGUUUAACCCAAAUCUCCACAUCUCCUUUGUGCUUCUAAAAAGGCCUACUUCAAGGACCCAAACAAAGGGCACACAUCCAUGUGUGCUCUCUGAUGCACCAAGCUCAUCCCUUUUGGCUUGGUGAUCGAACCCAGAUCGAAGAACAAAAAGUAUAAACCNNNN